rnacentral:rRNA from 1 species
GACGAACGCUGGCGGCGUGCUUAACACAUGCAAGUCGAGCGGACAGGCCCUGAUUUUGUGGGGUGCUCGAGUGGCGAACGGGUGAGUAAAACGUGAGUAACCUGCCCCUGACUUUGGGGUAAAAUCAGGAAAAUGGGGCGCAUACAGGGUAGGAGCUCCUGAUGCAUGGGGGGGGUUGGAAAGUUUCGGCGGUGGGGGCUGGACUAGCGGCUUAUCAGCUUGUUGGUGGGGUAGUGGCGUACCAAGGCUAUGACGGGUAGCCGGCGUGGGAGGGUGACCGGCCACAUGGGGCCUGCGAUACGGCCCAGACGGCUACGGGAGGCAGCAGGGGGAAAUAUUGCACAACGGGCGGAAGCGUGAGGCAGCGACCCCGCGUGCGUGAUGACGUCCUUCGGGUUGUAAACCGCUUUCUCCGUUGCCGAAGCGUGAGUGACGGUAAUGGGUAAAGAAGCACCGGCUAACUACGUG